rnacentral:rRNA from 1 species
UACAGAGGUCUCGAGCGUUGUUCGGAUUCAUUGGGCGUAAAGGGUGCGUAGGUGGCGCUGUAAGUCGGGUGUGAAAUCCUGAGGCUUAACCUCGGAACUGCAUUCGAUACUGCGGCGCUUGAGGACUGGAGAGGAGACUGGAAUUCAUGGUGUAGCAGUGAAAUGCGUAGAGAUCAUGAGGAAGACCAGUGGCGAAGGCGGGUCUCUGGACAGUUCCUGACACUGAGGCACGAAGGCCAGGGGGAGCAAACGGG